rnacentral:rRNA from 1 species
CCUACGGGGGGGCAGCAGAGAGGAAGAUUGGGCAAUGGAAGAGAGGUUGAACCAGCCAAGAAGCGUGAAGGAUGACUGCCCUAUGGGUUGGAAACUUCUUUUAUAUGGGAAGAAAACAGGGUAUGCAUACCCUCUUGUAUGUACCAUAUGAAUAAGGAUCGGCUAACUCCGUGACAGCAGCCGCGGUAAUACGGAGGAUCCGAGCGUUAUCCGGAAUUAUUGGGUUUAAAGGGAGAGUAGGUGGAUUGUUCAGUCAGUUGGGAAAGUUUGCGGCUCAACCGUAAAAUUGCAGUUGAAACUGGCAGUCUUGAGUACAGUAGAGGUGGGCGGAAUUCGUGGUGUAGCGGUGAAAUGCUUAGAUAUCACGAAGAACUCCGAUUGCGAAGGCAGCUCACUGGACUGCAACUGACACUGAUGCUCGAAAGUGUGGGUAUCAAACAGGAUUAGAUACCCUAGUAGUC